rnacentral:rRNA from 1 species
GUUCCGGCAUCGAUGAAGAACGCAGCGAAAUGCGAUAAGUAAUGUGGACCGCAGUACUCAGCGACUCAUCGAAUCUUUGAACGCACAUUGCGCCCCUUGGUAUCACCAAAGGGCACACCUGUUCGAGCGUCA